UACGCUAACUGAUUUUCUGUGAACCGAACCACGUUCAGUAGUCUACCUUUUUGCCUUUUUGUGGAAACCAAACUUUCUAUGAGUCGUGCAUUUGGGUCUUCAUCUAUUGGGUCAGACACUUGUCACGCCAGACUUCCUAAAUCAAUCUGGAUAUGUGGAUAUUUAUAUAUACAGAUCUGGUGGGCAGUCUGGCCUUUGCAUUUCCCAAAAUGUUGAACCAAGCCUUUAAACUGGAAACUGUCUGCAUGGCUCCAUAUCUUUAGCACUGAAGAUGUGUGGGAGAGUGUUCGAGUGGAUUUGUAACAGACUCCUGGUGUCUUCAUUGGCAAGCCCAGCAUGGUGGAUCUCCAAGAUGAAAGCCUGACAGCCUGAGUCAGUCUGCUCUGCGUCUUCAGCAGGUGGGCACGCUGCCCAGUGCUCAGUAAGCGAAUUAGCUUUUCCUGCAGAGGAGGAGGAGGAGGAGGAGGAGGAGGAGGAGGAGGGCUGGCUCGGUGAUGAAUGCCCUCACUUCUCUGCGUUUCAAAAGUACAGUUUAUCCAUGAGGAAUGGAGCAGCUUGUACAUGGGCUGAGGGGAAAUUGCCUUUUCCUUUGACCUGCAGCCAAGGGUGAGGAAGUGAAUGGAAAGCGAUAUGAGCGUGUCUGCCCUCCGAGGUGAUGAAUACGGUGCAAAUUAGGGGAAGGGGCCUUUCAAUCUCCAGCGCUUUGGCUUUUCCCCAUUCUUACAGCUCUAAAUUGUUUUCUGUCUUCUUGCUCCACAGCCCAUUCCUGCCUCCCUCAUAUUUUCCUUAAUCUUUCUUUCCUUUCUUUUCCUCCAUUUUUAUAUCUUCUCCACCCCCUCCUCGCGGUGGGGUUCUGGGGGUGUGCGGGUUGACAGGUUGAGCUCUGGGAGGUCGAGAGGGCAAGGGCAGCAUUUGCAGAUUGUGGGACAGAAAGCUGAGGCAGCACGGCCUUCAGUGAGAACGCAGCGUGCAGCAGGAAUCGAGAGGCCACGCGGAGUCACGGAGAAGUGUGACCUUGAGCCGCGAGCAGAGGAAAAAAAAAAAAAAAUCAACACAAAUCCAUCGAGCCCGGACGUUGGGCUCGCAGGCCUCGGUGCCCCGCGUAUGUGUGCACUCGUUGGCAUAUGGUGUUUUGCUCAGAAUGGAUUAGACGGAGCCCCCUCAUGAAUUAUUGUGAAAGCCCAGGAUAUUGCGGUGCACCACUGAGAGAUAAACAAAUUAGUGUUUUUAUCAUGUCUGCCUUUAAUUGAUAUUCAUGAAUGCAGGAUUUCAUAUGCAACAAAAGCUCUGGUCCAAUGCUAAAGAUUUAAAUUCUGAUUAUUAAUUACUGUUAUAAAAAAUCUGUCUCGUA